AGGGCCACUCAGGAGACACAGAAGGAGUCAUCAUUGGCACAAGACUGUUAAGAAAAACCAAGACGAGGGGAGACUCAGAAGCCUUCAGGAGGGGAGAAGGAUGAAAGAGCAAUCCUACACCAGUGGCUACCAUGCAAGAUAAGAACAAGCAAAGCUCUCCAAAACUGCUAAGCAGUUCCAGAACAAUCUCCCUUGCUGUCACUCAUCAAUUCCCAUAAAGUGUUAGCAGCUCCUUAAACUAAAACCAACCCAAUUGCUCAGGAGAAGUACAACUGGUUUUGGAAAAAACUCUGAUAGAGAUUUCUGCUGAGGGUGCUUCAUUAUAAGGAAGACAUCAUGAGAUAAUUUGAAAUUGGCUGCGCCCAACAGGUUUCCAAGUGGACAUGCUGUUUGGAAUAAAUUACAUUACAUUCUCUUCAUGAUAUCCAAAUCAUGUUUCAAAAUGUUUGGAACCACCCUCAAA